rnacentral:misc_RNA from 1 species
GAUGAAGAACGUAGCGAAAUGCGAAAAGUAAUGUGAAUUGCAGAAUUCAGUGAAUCAUCGAAUCUUUGAACGCACAUUGCGCCCGCUGGUACUCCGGCGGGCACGCCUGUCCGAGCGUCAUUUCAACCCUCAAGCCCUCCUUCGGGAUGGGCCUGGUGUUGGGGCUCGGCCGCCAUCUCCGGCGGCCGUCCCCUAAAUACAGUGGCGGUCACGUCGCGACUCCUUUGCGUAGUAGAAACACCUCGCUCCGGAUAGCAACGCGGUCCACGCCGUAAAACCCCCAAUUUUCAAUGGUUGACCUCGGAUCAGGUGGGAAUACCCGCUGAACUUAAGCAUAUCAAUAAGCGGAGGG